rnacentral:rRNA from 1 species
UGCGAAACUCGAAUGAACGAACGGAGAGAUUCAUCGUUUCAUCUCGGGCGGGUGCGCGUUCCGCUCGAUGUUCACCGCACUCGUGCGGCGGGCACGGCGGGCGCGCUCUGCGUUCCCGGGAGGGCGUGCACUUCUCUCUUAGUAAUACAUCGCGACCCGUUCGAUGUCGGUCUAAGCUCCGUUCGGGAGUCUCUCGGUUUCUGACCCUCACGGGUCACGGCCGGGAGACCGUGACGGAUGCCGACCGGCCGUCGGACGGUAUAAUAACGAAACGCGUACGCGCUAUUAUCGCGCGUCCGGCCCGACGCAAGGCUACGCCGUAUCUUCCGUUCACCGCCCGAGUGCGGACGGGAGUGCGGCGCGUCUGUUUUUUGUCGCCGCCGUGCAGUCUCGGACUGUACGCGUCUCCGUCUGCGAUGAUUCAGUUUCGG